UGCAAGUCGAGCGGACCGACGGGAGCUUGCUCCCUUAGGUCAGCGGCGGACGGGUGAGUAACACGUGGGUAACCUGCCUGUAAGACUGGGAUAACUCCGGGAAACCGGGGCUAAUACCGGAUGCUUGAUUGAACCGCAUGGUUCAAUCAUAAAAGGUGGCUUUYAGCUACCACUUACAGAUGGACCCGCGGCGCAUUAGCUAGUUGGUGAGGUAACGGCUCACCAAGGCGACGAUGCGUAGCCGACCUGAGAGGGUGAUCGGCCACACUGGGACUGAGACACGGCCCAGACUCCUACGGGAGGCAGCAGUAGGGAAUCUUCCGCAAUGGACGAAAGUCUGACGGAGCAACGCCGCGUGAGUGAUGAAGGUUUUCGGAUCGUAAAACUCUGUUGUUAGGGAAGAACAAGUACCGUUCGAAUAGGGCGGCACCUUGACGGUACCUAACCAGAAAGCCACGGCUAACUACGUGCCAGCAGCCGCGGUAAUACGUAGGUGGCAAGCGUUGUCCGGAAUUAUUGGGCGUAAAGCGCGCGCAGGCGGUUUCUUAAGUCUGAUGUGAAAGCCCCCGGCUCAACCGGGGAGGGUCAUUGGAAACUGGGGAACUUGAGUGCAGAAGAGGAGAGUGGAAUUCCACGUGUAGCGGUGAAAUGCGUAGAGAUGUGGAGGAACACCAGUGGCGAAGGCGACUCUCUGGUCUGUAACUGACGCUGAGGCGCGAAAGCGUGGGGAGCGAACAGGAUUAGAUACCCUGGUAGUCCACGCCGUAAACGAUGAGUGCUAAGUGUUAGAGGGUUUCCGCCCUUUAGUGCUGCAGCAAACGCAUUAAGC
rnacentral:rRNA from 1 species